rnacentral:rRNA from 1 species
GUGCCAGCCGCCGCGGUAAUACGAAGGGGGCUAGCGUUGUUCGGAAUUACUGGGCGUAAAGCGCACGUAGGCGGAUACUUAAGUUAGGGGUGAAAUCCCAGGGCUCAACCCUGGAACUGCCUUUAAUACUGGGUAUCUUGAGUCCGAGAGAGGUGAGUGGAAUUCCGAGUGUAGAGGUGAAAUUCGUAGAUAUUCGGAGGAACACCAGUGGCGAAGGCGGCUCACUGGCUCGGUACUGACGCUGAGGUGCGAAAGCGUGGGGAGCAAACAGGAUUAGAUACCCCUGUAGUCC